CAUUCCAAUUUUUUGUUGUUGUUUUUUGCUGGGUUUCAAUUUUAUAACUCAAUUUUUUCAGCAUUUAAAAUGUAGUGCAAUACCAGUAUUAUGAUGUCACUAUGUGGCCCCUUUUUGUACAGAAUUGGCUUCAUACUCUUAUGAGAGGCUGUUUUUAUGUGGAGGAAGGUGGAACGAUUGUUUCCCUUCAGUAUCGCUUGCAUAUCCCAGAGACAACCAGCGUUUACCUGACCAUAUGGCCCCAGAUCCUGAGCCUGAUUCGUGAGAAGCCUUCCCCAUGGAUGUGUGUGGACACAGCUCUCUAUGUGGUGAUGAGUAAUGAGACCAAAGAAGAUUCAAACUUUGUUUGCUUCACUGAGUUGAGAGAUAAAGAGAGGUUUGGAGGGGAGAGCUCAUCGCCGGUUCAUUUCUUCUUAUGCCCUUCACAACUGGCUGCAGACUGAUGAAGAGACAGAGGGAGACUGCCGCCACUAAAUCUGCUCAGCUACUCAACCGCACCCUGUCUGGAGAGCUGGAGUUAAACAAAGAGUUCAAUCCAAUCAGAAAGUGACAGUGCACAUCAACAAUGAGCAGAGCAAGAACUGUGUUAACAGCAGGGGCAUGAGAGUGUUUGCUGUUGAGGUUCCUGCUAUAGGACUAAAAUGGUGUGUCAGCAUGUCAUGGCUUUAAACGAACAACAGGAGUGGACCUACAACUGUGUUGAAAGCAUUAUACCAAGUUUGCAAAUGCUGUAGUCACUUAAUGGAGUUAUUAUAAGGCCACAAGUGAUGAAGAGAUGUUAAUCAAAUAAAAACUAUACAAAUAAUGUUACAAGAACUAUUGUAAGACUAAUGAUUUUACAGUAGUGAUCAUUAAAUUACAUUUGUUAUAAUAAUGUACAAUGAGAAGAUGUGCCUUUGUACAAAUACAAAUCUGU